AGUAACACGUGGGUAACCUGCCUUAUAGUGGGGGAGUAGCCUUUCGAAAGGAAGAUUAAUACCGCAUAAGAUUGUAGUAUCGCAUGAUAUAGCAAUUAAAGGAGCAAUUCGCUAUAAGAUGGACCCGCGCCGCAUUAGCUAGUUGGUGAGGUAAUGGCUCACCAAGGCGACGAUGCGUAGCCGACCUGAGAGGGUGAUCGGCCACAUUGGGACUGAGACACGGCCCAAACUCCUACGGGAGGCAGCAUG
rnacentral:rRNA from 1 species